GGAAUAUUGCGCAAUGGACGAAAGUCUGACGCAGCAACGCCGCGUGCAGGAUGACAGCCCUUCGGGUCGUAAACUGCUGUAGCAAGGGAAUAAUGGGCCGCCCGCGGGCGGAGUUGAAGGUACCUUGAAAGUAAGCUCCGGCUAACUACGUGGCAGCAGCCGCGGUAAUACGUAGGGAGCAAGCGUUGUCCGGAUUCACUGGGUGUAAAGGGUGCGCAGGCGGGUUGGCAAGUCAGUGGUGAAAUCUCACGGCUCAACCGUGAAACUGCCUUUGAUACUGCCAACCUUGAGUUAGAGAGAGGCCGAUGGAAUUCCAGGUGUAGCGGUGAAAUGCGUAGAUAUCUGGAAGAACACCAGUGGCGAAGGCGGUCGGCUGGCUCUACACUGACGCUCAGGCACGAAAGCGUGGGGAGCGAAC
rnacentral:rRNA from 1 species